GAUGAACGCUGGCGGCGUGCCUAAUACAUGCAAGUCGAGCGAAAAGCCGAGGCGCUUGCUCCUUCGACGUUAGGGGUGGACGGGUGAGUAACACGCAGGUAUCCUACCUAUAACCCUGGGAUAACUUCGGGAAUCCGCCGCUCAAACCGGAUAAUAUUUCGAACCGCUUUGUUCGAUACUGCAAUAUGGCUUUGCUAUCCCUUAUAGAUGGACUUGCGCCGGAUUAUCUAGGCGGUAGGGGACCGGCUUCCCAAGGCAACGCUGCGUAGCCGACCUGAUGGGGUGAGCGUCCACACUGGAACUGUGCCACGGUCCAGACUCCGCCGCGAGGGAGCAGUAGAGUGUGUGCCGCAAGGGGCGAAAGCCUGACGGAGCCACGCCGCGUGAGGGACGAAAGUCCUCGGAUCGUAAAACUCUGUUAUUAGGGAAGAACAAGCGUGGAGAUUACUGGGCACGUCUUGACGGUACCUAAUCAAAAAGCCACGGCUAACUACGUG
rnacentral:rRNA from 1 species